GGGGGAAUAUUGGACAAUGGGCGAAAGCCUGAUCCAGCAAUGCCGCGUGAGUGAUGAAGGCCUUAGGGUUGUAAAGCUCUUUUACCAGGGAUGAUAAUGACAGUACCUGGAGAAUAAGCUCCGGCUAACUCCGUGCCAGCAGCCGCGGUAAUACGGAGGGAGCUAGCGUUGUUCGGAAUUACUGGGCGUAAAGCGCACGUAGGCGGCUUUUCAAGUCAGGGGUGAAAUCCCGGGGCUCAACCCUGGAACUGCCUUUGAUACUGGGUGUCUUGAGUUCGAGAGAGGUGAGUGGAAUUCCGAGUGUAGAGGUGAAAUUCGUAGAUAUUCGGAGGAACACCAGUGGCGAAGGCGGCUCACUGGCUCGAUACUGACGCUGAGGUGCGAAAGUGUGGGGAGCAAACAGGAUUAGAUACCCUGGUAGUCCACACCGUAAACGAUGAAUGCCAGUCGUCGGGCAGUAUACUGUUCGGUGACACACCUAACGGAUUAAGCAUUCCGCCUGGGGAGUACGGUCGCAAGAUUA
rnacentral:rRNA from 1 species